AUUCAUUAGAUAGAGAAGAUCACUAAGAUUUCGUGAUCUGCUGUCGAACUUAUUCCAAUUCCAAGAUCUCAGAUCGAAGCAAUAUUGAUCUUCCGCAAGAGCUCAUAUCAACAGGAAGGUUUGGCACCCCGAUGUUGGCUAUUCGCCACCUGGGGUUGUAGUAUGUUCCAAGGGUUGGGUUGUUCACCCAUUAAAGCGGUACAAAAGCUGGGUUCAAAAUGUCAUGAGACAGUUCGGUCCAUAUUUGAUAUGGGCGUUAGAGCAUGGAGAGGACCUUUCCCUAGUAUGAGAGGACCGGGAAGGACGCACCUCUGGUGUACCCGUUAUCGUGCCCACGGUAAACGCUAGGUAGCCAAUUAUGGAGCAGAUAACUGCUGAAAGCAUCUAAGUAGUAAAUCCACCCCAAGAUGAGUGUUCUCCUAUUCCAA
rfam:Citrus clementina cultivar Clemenules unplaced genomic scaffold scaffold_5, whole genome shotgun sequence.